GUGGACGGAGAGAUCGCCCAGACCUUCCAAGUGCAGGAGGAGCCCCGCAAAGCCUUCCGCCAGAUCAAACUGGAGGUGCGGAGCAACUGGGGAAACAAGGAAUACACCUGCCUGUACAGAGCCGAUGUUCACGGCAACCCAGAAAAGGCAUAAUAGAUACGUAGAACGGAAUAAUUAAAUAAAAAGAUGUUGCUACCUUU